rnacentral:lncRNA from 1 species
GUGCUUGCCCUGAGCGACGGCUGUCCACACGCCACAGCCCGGGAAACCCUCGCCCUCUCCAGCCCCAGGGUCCCGACCUCGGUGAGCCCUCGGUGCAUCUCACUUGGAGCGUGGCAGUAGCCGCGGCUUCUCUCCGCUUUCUGUGUAGUUGACACCGGCGCCGCGUGGGUGGAAGGCGCCAGCCCCAAGGCUUGCCGUGCACCAACCGUGGAGCGAUUGCCAGUGGUCCCCGUACGUUUAGAGACCAUCCUUCAUCUCCCACAGAUACCAAAAAAGGGCUUCUUUCCUGGCGAUGAGAGCUUUUGGCAGCUGCUUUCUUAGUAAUUUUCAAAUACACCCAGCAGCAGCAUCAACUACGGUGGGUGAAGGUGUGGGCCCUGCAGGUCUCGACUGUCAGCCCCCGGAGUCUGUACUCUUUCCUGAUUCAGGGUUGCAGCCGGACCCCUGAGCCCAGGACAGAGGGGACCGGGCGAGGGACCGCGGCAGAGGCAGAGGAGUCUGGCUGGUGAGGCUCCCGCGUUCGCCACACCUGCCCCCGUUUCUUAGCGGUACUUCCAAGACGCAGCGGCGUUUGCUCCAUCUUACAUAUUUUAUGUGAAAUAAAUGCCUUUGUUCUGCCUGUUUUCUCUGGAUGUCUGGAUGCUCGCUGAGUGCUGAUAACGUUGACCAGUUAAUGUAAUCCGUGUGUGUUUUAUAGCAGAAACGUUUCUUUCAUACGUCUUGUUCCUAAUGUUUUCCUUUCAGAGCAAAUACUUGGCUUCCUUAAGUUUAACUUGAAAUCAUGCUCAGUGAACAGAUUGUUUCUUUGCUAAAAAAGAUGGCUUGGUGUCUUUCCAACCAGCCCGCCUCCCUGUUACUUUUCCAGUCUUCUGUGGCUGCUGGAGUCCAGAGGAAAGGUGCUUCUCGUGGCUCCUGAGGCGCUCGUGAGUGUGCCCUGUGCCCGGGGUCGCCCUGGGCGCACCUGCUCACAUUCACAUGUGCUUGAUUCUCCGAGGGUUCCAACGGACCAGCUGAGGUCCCGCACUUAACCUGUGCCCAGCGGUUCGCUUUUUCACCUAAGCAAAUGGUCUGAUUUGGUAAAAGCAAUUUAUUGAUUGAGCCCUGUUAUACUAAAAGAAAGAUACUUCCGCACGUAAGAUAAAGUACGUCAUUUACGUGUGUUUUCAAGUGGGUUUAGGAUGUUGGCCGGGCUGGCGGCCCUCCGCAGACAGGCGUGACCUGGAGAACGAGGACCAGACGUGGUGACACUCUGCCCUCCCUGAGCCUUGAUGCCAAGCCUCCCCCACCCCGCCCCCCAGGCUUGGGACAGAGGCAUAGAAUAAACACGAAACACGUCGAUUCCGAUGUUCA